rnacentral:rRNA from 1 species
GACGAACGCUGGCGGCGUGCUUAACACAUGCAAGUCGAACGGUAAGGCCCUUCGGGGUACACGAGUGGCGAACGGGUGAGUAACACGUGGGUGAUCUGCCCUGCACUUCGGGAUAAGCCUGGGAAACUGGGUCUAAUACCGGAUAGGACCAUUGCCUGCAUGGGUGGUGGUGGAAAGCUUUUGCGGUGUGGGAUGGGCCCGCGGCCUAUCAGCUUGUUGGUGGGGUGAUGGCCUACCAAGGCGACGACGGGUAGCCGGCCGGAGAGGGUGACCGGCCACACUGUGACUGAGAUACGGCCCAGACUCCUACGGGAGGCAGCAGUGGGGAAUAUUGCACAAUGGGCGUAAGCCUGAUGCAGCGACGCCGCGUGAGGGACGACGGCCUUCGGGUUGUAAACCUCUUUCAGCACCGACGAAGCGCAAGUGACGGUAGGUGCAGAAGAAGGACCGGCCAACUACGUGCCAGCCGCCGCCGUAA